AGCUGGUGAUGACAAACUUAACUUUUCUGACACCUCGUAUGAGAGCUGAACUCAGCUCCUGAUUCUAAAUCCGAUCUGAGGCUU
ensembl:snoRNA small nucleolar RNA SNORD60